GAUGAACGCUGGCGGCGUGCUUAACACAUGCAAGUCGAACGGUGAACCCGGAGCUUGCUCUGUGGGAUCAGUGGCGAACGGGUGAGUAACACGUGAGCAACCUGCCCCUGACUCUGGGAUAAGCGCUGGAAACGGCGUCUAAUACUGGAUAUGUGACGUGACCGCAUGGUCUGCGUUUGGAAAGAUUUUUCGGUUGGGGAUGGGCUCGCGGCCUAUCAGCUUGUUGGUGAGGUAAUGGCUCACCAAGGCGUCGACGGGUAGCCGGCCUGAGAGGGUGACCGGCCACACUGGGAUUGAGACACGGCCCAGACUCCUACGGGAGGCAGCAGUGGGGAAUAUUGCACAAUGGGCGAAAGCCUGAUGCAGCAACGCCGCGUGAGGGAUGACGGCCUUCGGGUUGUAAACCUUUUUUAGCAGGGAAGAAGCGAAAGUGACGGUACCUGCAGAAAAAGCGCCGGCUAACUACGUG
rnacentral:rRNA from 1 species